CGUUGCAGUCGCAAAGCUGGACUAAGUUCUCCAGAAAUCGGUGGGGUGUCGACACCCCUAUCGGCUUGGAUAUGACUUAACUUGAGUGUAUAUAUGUGACAUAUCUCCAAUCAGCAGCAUUACUCUUCCAUGGCGAGAUCUUUCCGCUUGCAGUGGAGCGGGCAAUAUGGCACUCCGAUAUCUUGUACUCGUAGUACUUUGCUCCAUGGGGCUAGUGCACGGCAGCAUUGAACACUGUGACAGCCUGGUGUGGCGGGCAUGUAUUCCGGUUAUGGAACUUGGGAUCGUUUCCAGCGAAAUCGGGUUAAAUCGAGUGAUUAAGCCACCCCAGACACUCACCCGGAGG